GACGAACCGUCCAAACGUUGUUCGGAAUCACUGGGCUUAAAGGGCGCGUAGGCGGGCUGCCAAGUCCGGGGUGAAAUCCUCCCGCUUAACGGGAGAACUGCCUCGGAUACUGGAAGUCUCGAGGAGGGUAGGGGCACGCGGAACUGUGGGUGGAGCGGUGAAAUGCGUUGAUAUCCAUAGGAACUCCGAUGGCGAAGGCAGCCUCCUGGGCCAGCACUGACGCUCAUGCACGAAAGCGUGGGGAGCAAACAGG
rnacentral:rRNA from 1 species